rnacentral:tRNA from 1 species
GGCUUUGUAGCACAGUGGUAAGGAGUGGGGCUUGUAACCGAAAGGUUGCUGGUUUGAUUCCCUGCUGGGGCA